rnacentral:pre_miRNA from 1 species
CCGAGACGGGCGGAUCACGAGGUCAGGAGAUCGAGACCAUCCUGGCUAACANUGUUAGCCAGGAUGGUCUCGAUCUCCUGACCUCGUGAUCCGCCCGUCUCGG